rnacentral:rRNA from 1 species
UACGUAGGUGGCAAGCGUUGUCCGGAUUUACUGGGCGUAAAGAGCGCGCAGGCGGUCGUUCAAGUCGCGUGUGAAAGCCCCCGGCUCAACUGGGGAGGGUCACGCGAUACUGAUCGACUCGAAGGCAGGAGAGGGUAGUGGAAUUCCCGGUGUAGUGGUGAAAUGCGUAGAUAUCGGGAGGAACACCAGUGGCGAAGGCGACUACCUGGCCUGUUCUUGACGCUGAGGCGCGAAAGCUAGGGG